CAGUAGCCGCGGUAAUACGAAGGGGGCUAGCGUUGCUCGGAAUGACUGGGCGUAAAGGGCGCGUAGGCGGUCACGAUAGUCAGAUGUGAAAUUUCUGGGCUUAACCUGGGGACUGCAUUUGAUACUGUGUGGCUUGAGUAUGGAAGAGGGUCGUGGAAUUCCCAGUGUAGAGGUGAAAUUCGUAGAUAUUGGGAAGAACACCGGUGGCGAAGGCGGCGACCUGGUCCAUAACUGACGCUGAGGCGCGAAAGCGUGGGGAGCAAACAGGAUUAGAUACCCCGGUAGUCCCUGUCUCUUAUAU
rnacentral:rRNA from 1 species